UACCGGUACCGAAAAACAAUUUAUAAAAUAGUUUUAGCCUUCAGUUUAAAGCCGAUAUUGAUUUUACGGUGUUUUCCAUUAUAGUAUUUCACAAUAUUGCAUCAGCCGGUUACGACUACUUUUUAUCAAUACACAUAACAUUCUUUACUAUUUUAAGUAUUAUAAUGAAUAAGUGGAAUUUAAACAACUGAAAUGUAUUUAAGAGGUCUACAAACAUAUUAUUAGGCAGACGAAUUACAACGUGAAAAAUGCAAGACUUUAUAAAGACAACGAACGUUUAAAACAAAAUAUAUCAUCGGAAGACUUCAAGAAAAGAAUGUUAACCGUAGCAUGGUUGAAUAUCAUAAUACUUUCAUGUUGUGAGAAUCACUCAACCGUAGGAGUAUGCCAUAUGCAUACGCAUGACUGAACAUUAUAAUACUUUCGUGUUGUGAGGAUUACUCGACCAUAGGAUUAUACCAUAAUCAUACGCAUGGUUGAAUAUACGCUUUUGGGAGUAGUAUAGAAUAUAACGUUUAUGGGUACUUUUUGGAUAGUAUUAAAGAAUAUUAUGUUUUUGGAAAAUUUUAACCCUUUUUAUUCAAAUAAUUUAUAAUUGUUUGUUCAUUAUGUUUUACAUUGUUUACUUUCAGUAUUUUAUAGAAUAAAUCAUAAAUGUUGA